rnacentral:lncRNA from 1 species
CUGUGCUGGGAUUGCAAUGCAUUCUGUGUUUGCAAUGCAGUCUGUGCUGGGAUUGCAAUGCAUUCUGUGUUUGCAAUGCAAUCUGUUCAGGGUGUGCAAUGCAAUCUGGUCAGUAUUUGCAAUGCAAUCUGUGCUGGGUUUGCAAUGCAAUGCAAUCUGUGCUGGGUUUGCAAUGCAAUGCAAUCUGUGCUGGGUGUGCAAUGCAAUGCAAUCUGUGCUGGGUGUGCAAUGCAAUGCAAUCUGUGCUGGGAUUGCAAUGCAAUCUGCUCUGGCUGUGCAAUGCAAAGUGUUCUGGGUGUGCAAUGCAAUGCAAUCUGUGCUGGGUUUGCAAUGCAAUCUGUUCUGGGUUUGCAAUGCAAUGCAAUGCAAUCUGUUCUGGGUGUGCAAUGCAAUGCAAUCUGCUCUGCGUGUGCAAUGCAUUCAGUGUUUGCAAUGUAAUCUGUUCAGGGUGUGCAAUGCAAUGCAUUCAGUGUUUGCAAUGCAAUCUGUUCUGGGCAUGCAAUGCAAUGCAAUCUGUGCUGCGUUUGCAAUGCAAUCUGGUCAGUAUUUGCAAUGCAAUGCAAUCUGUGCUGGGUGUGCAAUGCAAUGCAAUCUGUGCUGGGUGUGCAAUGCAAUGCAAUCUGUGCUGGGUGUGCAAUGCAUUCUGUGUUUGCAAUGCAAUCUGUUCUGGGUGUGCAAUGCAAUGCAAUCUGUGCUGGGAUUGCAAUGCAAUCUGUGCUGGGCUUGCAAUGCAAUGUGUUCUGGGUGUGCAAUGCAAUGCAUUCAGUGUUUGCAAUGCAAUCUGUUCUGGGUGUGCAAUGCAAUGCAAUCUGUGUUUGCAAUGCAAUCUGGUCAGUAUUUGCAAUGCAUUCUGUUCUGGGUGUGCAAUGCAAUGCAAUGUGUGCUGGGGUUCCAAUGCAAUGUGUUCUGGAUUUGCAAUGCAAUGCAUUCUGUGUUUGCAAUGCAAUCUGUGCUGGGUGUGCAAUGCAAUGCAAUCUGUGCUGGGUGUGCAAUGCAAUGUGUUCUGGAUUUGCAAUGCAAUGCAAUCUGGGUUUGCAAUGCAAUCUGUUCUGGGUGUGCAGUGCUUUGCAAUCUGUGCUGGGUGUGCAAUGCAAUGCAAUCUGUGCUGCGUUUGCAAUGCAAUGUGUUCUGGAUUUGCAAUGCAAUGCAAUCUGGGUUUGCAAUGCAAUCUGUUCUGGGUGUGCAGUGCUUUGCAAUCUGUGCUGGGUGUGCAAUGCAAUGUGUUCUGGAUUUGCAAUGCAAUGCAAUCUGGUCAGUAUUUGCAAUGCAAUCUGAUCUGGGUGUGCAAUGCAAUCUGCUGUGGGUGUGCAAUGCAUUCUGUUCAGGGUGUGCAAUGCAAUGCAAUCUGUGCUGGGAUUGCAAUGCAUUCAGUGUUUGCAAUGCAAUGUGUUCUGGGUUUGCAAUGCAAUGCAAUCUGUGUGUGCAAUGCAAUGACUUCUGUGUUUGCAAUGAAAUGCAAUGCAAUCUGUGCUGGGUGUGCAAUGCAAUGUGCUCUGGGAGUGCAAUGCAAUCUGUGCUGGGUGUGCAAUGCAAUGCAAUCUGUGCUGGGUUUGCAAUGCAUUCUGUGUUUGCAAUGCAAUGCAAUGCAAUCUGUGCUGGGUUUGCAAUGCAAUGUGUUCUGGGUUUGCAAUGCAAUGCAAUCUGUGUUUGCAAUGCAAUCUGUUCUGGGUUUGCAAUGCAAUGCAAUGCAAUGCAAUCUGUGUUUGCAAUGCAAUCUGUUCUGGGUUUGCAAUGCAAUGCAAUCUGUGCUGGGUUUGCAAUGGAAUGCAAAGUGUUCUGGGUGUGCAAUGCAAUGCAAUCUGUGUUUGCAAUGCAAUCUGUGCUGUGUUUGCAAUGCAGUGCAUUCUGUGUCUGCAAUGCAAUCUGUACUGGUUGUGCAAUGCAAUGCAAUUUGUGCUGUGUUUGCAAUGCAAUCUAUUCUGGGUGUGCAAUGCAAUGCAACCUGUUCUGGGUGUGCAAUGCAUUCAGUGCUUGCAAUGCGAUGCGUUCUGGAUGUGCAAUGCAAUGCAAUCUGUGUUUGCAAUGCAAUGCAAUCUGUGUUUCCAAUGCAAACUGUUCUGGGUGUGCAGUGCAAUGCAAUCUGGUCAGUACUUGCAACACCACCUCUUUGGUGCUUGCAAUGCAAUGCAAUCUUUUGGGUAUUUGCACUGCAAUCUGUUGGGUGCUUGCAAUGCAAUGCAAUCUUUUGGUUAUUUGCACUGCAACCUGCCUGGAAUUUGCAAUGCAAUGCAAUCUGUUGGGUAUUUGCAUUGCAACCUGCUUGGAAUUUGCAAUGCAAUGCAAUCUUUUGGUUAUUUGCACUGCAACCUGCUUGGAAUUUGCAAUGCAAUGCAACCUGUUGGGUAUUUGCAUUGCAAUCUGUUGGGUGCUUGCAAUGCAAUGCAAUCUGUUGGGUAUUUGCAAUGCAACGCAAUCAGUUUGGUGUUUGCAAUGCGGUGCAACGUGAUCUGUGUUUGCAAUGCACUGCAAUGCAUGCAGUGUCUGCAAUGCAACCUGUUUGCAAUGGAAUUCAACCUGUUUGCUGCUUGCAAUGCAAUGCAAUGUGUUCUGUAUUUGCAAUGCAAUGCAAUGCAUGCAGUGUUUGCAAUGCAAUGCAACGUGUUUUGUGUUUGCAAUGCAAUGCAACCCGUUUGCUGUUUGCAAUGCAAUGCAACCUGUUUGCUGUCUGCAAUGCAAUGCAACGUUUGCUCCCUGCAAUGCAAUGCAAUGAAUGCAGUGUCUGCAAUGCAACCUGUUCUGUGUUUGCAAUGCAAUGCAAUGCAUGCAGUGUCUGCAAUGCAACCUGUUCUGUGUUUGCAAUGCAAUGCCUUUAG